rnacentral:lncRNA from 1 species
AUGCAGACAGCUACUUGGGUUGAUGAGAAGGGAAGCCCCCACCAGCCGGGCAGCGGGAGGUGGUGUGGACCCGAAAUGGGUGGGCCUGGGAUCUCAGAACUGAGUCUGGGGGCCGUGUGGCUGCCACCCAGACUCAGAAAGCCAGGAUCAUGUGGCAGCGGCCCUGUGGGCACAUACCACUCUGCUCAACACACUCCCCUCCUUCUGGCCCAGGCAGGUGCUGGUGGUCCUGAGCAGAUCCCUCCCCACCACAGAGGGGGACCUGAGACCAGGCAGGCAGCCAGGGCGGGUUGGAGAGAUCUGAAGGGCAUAUGGGGACUGUCCAGAAUACAUGGGAUGGAAAAGAAGAAAAUUGACUGUUAGGGGCUUAUGGGCUGAGGAGCAGAUAGCUAGCCAAGGUGGAAGCGGUAGAGACAUGUAGUUGUUAAGUUGCACAGUUAUGUCUGACUCUGCAACCCCAGGGACGGCAGCAUGCUAGGCUCCCUUGUCCUCCACUAUCUCCCAGAGCUUGCUCACAUUCUUGCCCAUUGAGUUGGUGAUGCCAUCCAACCAUCUCAUCCUCUGUUGCCCCCUUCUUCUCCAAUUUCGUAUCAGGUGGCCUCUGCAUCAGUCCUUCCAAUGAAUAUUCAGGGUUGAUUUCCUUUAGGGUUGACUGGUUUGAUAUGCUUGCUGUCCAAGGGACUCUCAAGAGUCUUCUCUAGCACCACAAUUUGAAAGCAUUAAUUCUUCAGCAAUCAGCCUUAUUUAUGGUCCAAUUGUCACAUCUGUAUAUGACUACUGGAGAAACCAUCAGUUCAGUUCAGUUGCUCAGUCAUGUCCGAUUCUUUGCGACCCCGUGAAUCGCAGCACGCCAGGCCUCCCUGUCCAUCACCAACUCCCGGAGUUCACUCAAACUCAUGUUCAUUGAGUUGGUGAUGCCAUCCAGCCAUCUCAUCCUCUGUCGUCCCCUUCCCCUCCUGCCCCCAGUCUCUCCCAGCAUCAGGGUCUUUUCCAGUGAGUCAACUCUUCACAUGAGGUGGCCAAAGUACUGGAAUUUCAGCUUUAGC